AGUGAACGCUGGCGGCAGGCCUAACACAUGCAAGUCGAACGGCAGCACAAGAGAGCUUGCUCUCUGGGUGGCGAGUGGCGGACGGGUGAGGAAUGCAUCGGAAUCUGCCCAUUUGUGGGGGAUAACCUCGGGAAACCGGGACUAAUACCGCAUACGACCUACGGGUGAAAGCAGGGGAUCUUCGGACCUUGCGCAGAUGGAUGAGCCGAUGCCGGAUUAGCUAGUUGGAGGGGUAAAGGCCCACCAAGGCGACGAUCCGUAGCUGGUCUGAGAGGAUGAUCAGCCACACUGGGACUGAGACACGGCCCAGACUCCUACGGGAGGCAGCAGUGGGGAAUAUUGGACAAUGGGCGCAAGCCUGAUCCAGCCAUGCCGCGUGCGUGAAGAAGGCCUUCGGGUUGUAAAGCACUUUUGUUGGGAAAGAAAAGCAGCCGGUUAAUACCCGGUUGUCAUGACGGUACCCAAAGAAUAAGCACCGGCUAACUUCGUG
rnacentral:rRNA from 1 species